rnacentral:lncRNA from 1 species
UGCUGUGAGAAACUCCCACGCCUGGAAUCCUAUCCUGUCCCCAGAGCCUGUGGAUAUAUUCUUUUAUGUGCUAAGAGGGACUUUACAGAUUUGAUGAAGAACCUCAAGGUAUGACUGGAUAGCAUGGUGUAUGUGUCCAUAACCCAGGUCCUCGGUAGGCUGGCACGGGAAGAUCCAGAGUUCAAGGCCAGCCUGGACUGCAAACGAUGCCCCAUCUCAAAAGACAAAAAUCACAAACCUUGAGUGGGGACGAUUCCCAUAGAUGAUCUAAAGGCUCAGGACAAUUAAAAUGUUCAUCUGAGGGGGAGGUCUGAGCAACAAACUAUGAGAAAGAGAGUCUCCAGAGUACUGGAAGACAUGCUACCUCUGGAGCUGAAGACAAGAGGAGUCGUGAGCUGAUGAAGGCAGGAAGCUUGUGGAAAAGGCAAGGAAAUGGAUUCUCCCUUAGGGCAUCUGUGGAGGAGCAGAGAUCUGUAAACACCUUCAUCCUCCCCUGCCAGACUCAUUUUAGACUUCUGACCUUCAGAAUUAUAAAAUAACAAGUAAAGGAUGUACUGCGAUGCUUCCUUCAAACUUCCCAGCACAGGGAGCCCAGAUGUUAAGAACUGUAUGUAAGUGACUGAGUGGAAAGAUUUGAGAGCAAGCCUCCUAGCAACUGCGUGCAAUAAAAGAGAAGACUGGUUGAAAGGCUCUCUUCUCUCCUUCUCUCCCUCCCACCCCUUGUCCAUGCUACUUUCCUAAUCCUCAGUUUA